AAGUUUUUAUUAAAGGUAAACGUCCUUGUAAAGACAAGUGUGCAAUUGAACACUCGUGAGACUUCUGAGUACACUCCUUUCAUAGACUCCAUAAUAUAGAAAUUGAAAAGGAUAUGAAAGGAUAUGGUUCUCUUACCUUAGAGGUGAAGAAAACAAGGUCUAUAUUAAACAAAGUUUUUCCAAGAUGUACAUUUACUAGCAGAGCUAGGAGUCAAUUCUAGGCCUAACUGCUUCUCGAGUGCUCUUUCCACUGCCCUGCAGCUGCACGUUGCCUUUUAUUGAAGUUACUAUUAGAAAUCUGACCCCAAUUAAUUAACUUGACAAUAAUAAGUAUUCAUGGUUUAGAAAUUACCAAGUUUAAUAUUUAGUAAUAUUAAUUAUGCAAAUAUCCACAAACAGUACUUUGAAGAAAGGGUAGUGUGAUGGAUGGUUAAUAUUGAGUGUCAACUUGAUUGAAUUGAAGGAUGCAAAGGAUUGUUCCUGGGUGUGUCUGUGAGGGUGCUGCCAAAAGAGAUUAACAUUUGAGUAAGUGGACUGGGAGAGGCAGACCCACCCUCAAUCUGGGUGUGCACCGUGUGAUCAGCUGCCAGCAUGGCUAGAAUUAAGCAGGCAGAAGAAAUUGGAAGGAGCCGAUUUGCUGAGUCUUCUGGCAUUCAUCUUUUCCCCAUGCUGGAUGCUUCCUGCCCUAGAACAUCAGACUCCAGGUUCUUCAGUUUUUAGACUUUUGGACUUAACCAGUAUUUUCCAGGGGCUCCAGGGCCUUUGGCCACAGACUGAAGGCGGCACUAUCAGCUUCCCUACUUUUGAGGUUUUGGGACUCAGACUGAUCCACCACUGGCUUCCUUGCUCCUCAACUUGCAGACAGCCUAUUGUGAGACUUUACCUCGUGACUAAGUGUUAAGCCAAACAGAUUCUAUGGCUUCCACACAAAUGAGUAAGUGAUGAAGUUUAUGUACAUGAACAUUGCCGGUGCUGAUGAUCUUCCAAGAAUCUAAGGAUGGUUUAUAAUCAGCUAUAGGACUUUAACAGCUGCUCUCAUAUGCAGAUUACUGAUAACUUUGGAGACUGUGACAUUGGAAUAGAGGAAAACCUACAGGACUCAUGAAGAGCUGAAAUGUUCACGAAUAUCAAGAAGAACAAGAGUUAAACAUAUGUAUUUAUAAAACUUUGAAACAUAUUUUAUCUUCUCUCAACUCCUGUGACUCCAUACCCAAUAUUUACAGUAUUAAAACUUAUAGAUUUCUGGCAUUUCAACCACUGUUGUCUAAUACUGUAUGGAAAUGUAUAACUCUUAAAAAUGUUCAAGUUGAUCUGAGCUAAAGCAAGAAAAAAAUGAGCACAAAGUAAAGGAAGCAAUUCUAAUAAUUGAAACAACAAACAACAAAGAAUCUGAUAGAGAAAACAUUUCCUAAAGCACAGAGUUAAACAAAACUAGAAAUGUGUAAAUGUAUGACAUCAAGUACUGUAUGAAAAGUGCAUUUUUUAGUUUAGAAAAUGUAGUGAUGAUCUUUAUUAUGCACUUAUGUAAAUGUAGGGUACAUACCCAAAUACUAAGACUAUGUAGUAGGUGCUGUAAUAAAUUUAUUCAGAAAUUUUUUCAAAAAUUUCUUUUCUUACAGUAAGAGCCUUCAACAAUAUUGAACCUUCAAUAAGAAUAAUUUAUCUCAACAAUACAUUAGUUCAUUUCACAUGUAUUACACAUCUAACAUGUUAUCAGACACAAUAAAUACAAAAAUUAAUAACAUUAGUUUUCUCAAAUGAUGUACAGCCAAUCAGUUUCUUGACAUCUAUAAGCAAAGAGGCCAAGUAAGGCAAAAGAUCUUAGUUCAACAAGUUUCCUCAGUGAAGGGCAAUAGAAGGGGUCAAUAGGGUAGAGAAGGAGAAAUGAGAUAACUUUAGGUCAUUUGCAGGGGAAGAGCAUGAGAAUGAUGCACAUCAAAUAGGUAAGUAUUAAUAUAAAUUGAAAGCUAAUACACACCAUGGAGACACUGGAUUCUGCAGAAGAGCACAGUCAGCAGGAUAGGAUAUCAGAGGCACAUAUGAAGGGCACGUAAAUAAAGCUAUUAGGUAAAACAAAAGUAUAUUCAUUGAGUUUAUAGCUUUGCUUGCAUGUUUUAGUUUAUGUUCCCCAAAACAGAGUUCAUAGAACAAAGUUUCCCAGCUGAGUGCAUACUGUUAAUCCUGAUCAUAGGAGCACCAAAACAUCUUCAGUGAAUCCAGCAAAUUCCAUGCAUAUAACUCCUUGCCUCUGUUUGGUAGCAGACGUUGUAUUUCCUCAUAAUAAUCAAGGUCUAUUAUCUAUGAUUGAAAAGAAACAUUUCUUUAUCUGAUUGUCCACUCGAUUGAGAAGCUCAAAGGGACCAAGUAGUGCUCCCAACAUUAAGUUCAGUGGAAUGGUGAUUGGGCCAACUGGUGAAAGCAUUGCCUCCUGGGAAGCCAAGACCUUUCAGUCAGUAGAACCCUAAGGCUGAAGAAACUAGAAAUACAAAUACUGGAAGUGAGUCAGCAGGAGUGAUGGUAAAAAAUGUCAAACUUCCCUAUACCCCUUGGAAACAUUAUUUAGCAUUUGACCACAGAAUGAUAUGUCAGUCUUGGUUCCAUGACAAUACUGUAUUCUGUACGAUAUAACUUUGACUGUACCAUGUUGUCAUCCACAACAAUUGCUUUAGGCAAGCCUUUAAGAAAUUAUAAUAAAGGUCUAACAGGCCACAGGUUUUCAGGUGAUACAGCAAUCAGU
rnacentral:lncRNA from 1 species